AUGCUACCAGCGGGAGCUCAGCUUCUUAAGACGUCGGGCAGGCCAGCCAUUAGAGCAGAGGAGUCUUCAGCCACCGUACCGGCCAUGGCCUCCGGCAGCGAGCAGCGAGAGCAAGCAGUAGCCCUGCUCGACCACCCUCCCGCCGAGGGAUUUCUGUCGCAGGGAGCGGCAGAGGCGUACACCACCGACGGGUCUCUCGACUUGGACGGCAACCCGGCGCUGAAGCAGCGCACGGGUGGAUGGCGCGCUUGCCGCACACUUCUCGCUAUUGAAUUCUGCUACAACCUAUCGAUCAAUGGGAUCACGUGCAACCUCAUCACGUACCUCACCGUCUUCCUGGGCAUGGGCAAUGUUGCGGCUGCAAGAAGUGUCUCCACCUGGCAGGCAACAAGCUCCGUCAUCCCACUGGCCGGCGCCAUCUUGGCCGACUCCUACUGGGGAAGGUACCGCACCAUGGUCAUCUCCUUCUCCACCUUCGCGGUGGGGAUGAUCCUGACAGCUCUCUCGGCGUACCUGCCGUUGCUCGUCAAGAACGGCAUAUCGAACGUGGUGUCGGUUCAGGAGUCCAUCCUCUUUCUGGGCCUUUACAUUAUCGCAGUCGGAGUAGGCGGUCUCCGGCCAUGCCUGAUGUCCUUUGGUGCCGACCAGUUCGACGACGGCGACCCGCUGGAGCGCAGGGCGAAAGGCCCCUUCUUCAACUGGUACGUGUUCACCAUGUACUGCGGGUCGACGAUAGCAAGCACCGGCAUCGUGUGGGUUCAGGACCACUACGGCUGGGCACUGGGCCCGACGAUCCUGGCAGCGGUCCUCGCCGGCGGGCUCUCCUGCCUGGUUGCGACAUCGCGCAAGUACAGGUUUCAGCCAACCCGUGGCAGCCCACUCACCGGAGUGUGCCAGGUCGUCGUUGCCGCCGUCAGAAACUUCAACGUCCAGUUGCCGUCCGAUAGCUCUCUCCUCUACGAGCUGCCAGAGGACAAUCCUGUGAUGAAGGGAUUUGAGAGGAUAGAGCACACUACCGAUCUUCAAUUCUUUGACAAGGCAGCCAUUGUCGCGCCGUCGAACAAGGAGGUGGAGGAGGCAGACGCGCCGGCGUUGCGCGGUCCAUGGAGGCUCUGUGCCGUGACGCAGGUGGAGGAGCUCAAGAUCCUCGUGAGGAUGCUGCCGCUCUUGGCCACCAUCGUGUUCUUCUACGCCGUGGCGGCACAGGUCCCGUCAACUUUCGUGGAGCAGGGCAUGGCGAUGGACACCACCGUCGGCUCGGCGCGCAUCCCGUCCGCGUCCAUGUCCACCUUCAACGUGCUCACCAUCGUCGUCCUGAUCCCGCUCUACGACCGGGUGUUCGUGCCGGUGGCCAGGCGGCUCACCGGGAGGGAGAACGGCAUCUCGGGGCUGCAGAGGAUUGGCGCCGGCCUCGCCAUGCCGGUGCUCAGCAUGGGCGCCGCGGCGUUUCUCGAGACGGCACGCCUCCGCGCGGCAAAGGCGUCUCCGCGGGCGCCGAAUGGGACCAGCGUGUUGUGGCAGGUGCCACAGUACGCGCUGGAGGGCGUGGGCCAGGUGCUCACCACCGUCGGGCAGUUCAGCUUCUUCUACAGCCAGGCGCCGCCCGCGAUGAAGACAGUAUGCACGGCGCUCGGGCUCCUCUCGAUAACAGCCGGGGAGUACCUGAGCUCGCUCCUGCUGACGGCCGUGCAGUGGGCGACGGCGACCGGCGGCGCGCCGGGGUGGAUCCCCGACGACCUCAACGAGGGGCACUUGGAUCGCUUCUUCUGGAUGAUGGCCGGACUGGGCUGCCUCAAUCUGAUGGCUUUUGUGAGCUGCGCCAUGAGGUACAAAUCAAGGAAGGCUAAAUGCCAACGAUGUGGCAGCAAUUUCGUCGAUAAUCGUUAG
rnacentral:rRNA from 1 species